UACGUAGGGUGCGAGCGUUGUCCGGAAUUAUUGGGCGUAAAGAGCUCGUAGGCGGUUUGUCGCGUCUGCCGUGAAAGUCCGGGGCUCAACCCCGGAUCUGCGGUGGGUACGGGCAGACUAGAGUGAUGUAGGGGAGACUGGAAUUCCUGGUGUAGCGGUGAAAUGCGCAGAUAUCAGGAGGAACACCGAUGGCGAAGGCAGGUCUCUGGGCCGAUACUGACGCUGAGGAGCGAAAGCGUGGGGAGCGAACAGG
rnacentral:rRNA from 1 species